rnacentral:rRNA from 1 species
GAUGAACGCUGGCGGCGUGCCUAAUACAUGCAAGUCGAGCGAACAGACGAGGAGCUUGCUCCUCUGACGUUAGCGGCGGACGGGUGAGUAACACGUGGAUAACCUACCUAUAAGACUGGGAUAACUUCGGGAAACCGGAGCUAAUACCGGAUAAUAUAUUGAACCGCAUGGUUCAAUAGUGAAAGACGGUUUUGCUGUCACUUAUAGAUGGAUCCGCGCCGCAUUAGCUAGUUGGUAAGGUAACGGCUUACCAAGGCGACGAUGCGUAGCCGACCUGAGAGGGUGAUAGGCCACACUGGAGCUGAGACACGGUCCAGACUCCUACGGGAGGCAGCAGUAGGGAAUCUUCCGCAAUGGGCGAAAGCCUGACGGAGCAACGCCGCGUGAGUGAUGAAGGUCUUCGGAUCGUAAAACUCUGUUAUUAGGGAAGAACAAAUGUGUAAGUAACUAUGCACGUCUUGACGGUACCUAAUCAGAAAGCCACGGCUAACUACGUG